rnacentral:rRNA from 1 species
GAGAAUCCCGUCCACCGAUUGACUAAGGUUUCCAGAGGAAGGCUCGUCCGCUCUGGGUUAGUCGGGUCCUAAGCUGAGGCCGACAGGCGUAGGCGAUGGAUAACAGGUUGAUAUUCCUGUACCACCUAUAAUCGUUUUAAUCGAUGGGGGGACGCAGUAGGAUAGGCGAAGCGUACGAUUGGAUUGUACGUCUAAGCAGUGAGAUUGAGUGUUAGGCAAAUCCGGCACUCUUAAGAUUGAGCUGUGAUGGGGAGAGGAAAUUGUUUCCUCGAGUCGUUGAUUUCACACUGCCG